rnacentral:rRNA from 1 species
CUGGGCUUGAAAGGCAAGAUUCUAGACGAUGAAAGUCGUUUACCCGCAAGGGGUCUUGUACAGGUGCUGCAUGGCUGUCGUCAGCUCGUGCCGUGAGGUGUUAGGUUAAGUCCUGCAACGAGCGCAACCCCUACACUUAGUUGCCAUCAGGUAAUGCUGGGCACUCUAAGUGGACUGCCUACGCAAGUAGCGAGGAAGGUGGGGAUGACGUCAAGUCCUCAUGGCCCUUACGCCCAGGGCCACACACGUGCUACAAUGGCCACUACAAAGGGUUGCCAAAGCGCAAGCUGGAGCUAAUCCCAUAAAAGUGGUCUCAGUUCGGAUUGUGGGCUGCAACUCGCCCACAUGAAGCUGGAAUUGCUAGUAAUCGCGGAUCAGCACGCCGCGGUGAAUACGUUCCC